UUAGUAAGAAAAUUUUUGGGUUAGUAAGAAAAGUAUUAAAGUAAUUUUUUUAAAAGUAUGAGUUUGAUCCUGGCUCAGAUUAAACGUUUUUGGUUAGUCUUACACAUGCAAGUUUGAUAUGAUCAAGCGUACGGGUGAGUAUAUUAUAGGAAUUAUUCAUAGAUUACGUGAAAAGCCUGUAAAAGAUUAAGUAAUUUAGGGAAAAAAUCUAAAAUUCUAAUAAUCUUUAGCUGGUCUUUGCGGACGUACAGCCACAUUGGAACUGAAAAAAGGUCCAAACUUUAUAAAAAGGCAGCAGUGAAGAAUCUUGGACAAUGAGCGGAAGCUUGAUCCAGCUAAACCAAAUGUGUGAAAAAACUAUAAAGCACUAAAUAAACAGUUAAAUUGUGAUUUCUGUUUACCACUAGUCCUGGCUAAUUUCGUGCCAGCAGCCGCGGUAAUACGAGAAGGGCAAACGUUAUUCAGAUUUAUUGGGCGUAAAGGAUACGUAGGUGGAAACUUAAAUUUUAAUAAAAAUCUAAAAUUUCAUUUUUAUUAAUCAUUAAAAAAUUAAUUUUCUAGAGUAAAAAUAAGAUUUCGGAACUUUAAGAGUAACAGUAAAAUGUUUUGAUCCUUAAAAGAACUUCAAAAGCGGACGCGGAAGUCUCCUUAAACUGACACUGAGGUAUUAAAGCAUGGGUAGCGAAAGGGAUUAGAUACCCCUGUAGUCCAUGCCCUGAACAAUGAAUGCUAAUACUAACGUAAAGCAUUCCGCCUGGGGAGUAUGAUUGCAAAAUUAAAACUCAAAGGAAUUGACGGGGAUCUACACAAGCAGUGGAGUAUGUGGUUUAAAACGACAAUACGCGUGAAACCUUACCAAUUUUUGAAUACUUUUGUACAAGUGUUGCAUGGCUGUCGUCAGUCCGUGCUUUGAAGCGUUUGGUUUAUUCCAAAAAACGGACAAAACUCUCGUAUAUUAAAAAAAUAUAAACAUUAAAGAUAUUUUAGCGGAAGGAGAACGACGUCAAGUCUUUAUGACCUUUAUGAAUUGGGCUACUUUCAUGUACUACAUUAAUUUACAACAAUUUUUAGUAAAAACGUAACUUUUUAUAAUUUAAAAAAAAUUAUGUCCGGAUUGUUUUUCUGAAACUCGAAAUCAUGAAGUUGGAAUUGCUAGUAAUCGCAAAUAAGAAUGUUGCGGUGAAUUUGUUCUUAGAUCCUGUACACACUGCCCGUCACGCUAUGGAAGUUUUCUUUACUAACAACUUUUAAAGUAAAAAAAUAACUAGAGUGAAGUCGUAACAAGGUAGCCGUAGGGGAACCUGUGGCUGGAAAUUUUUAUUAAAAUAAAGUUCUACUAACC
rnacentral:ncRNA from 1 species